GGACAGGUGGCCGAGUGGUUGAAGGCGCACGCCUGGAAAGUGUGUAUACGUGAGAGCGUAUCGUGGGUUCUGAAUCCCUGCUCUGUCCGCCA
rnacentral:tRNA from 1 species